GAUCAUGGCUCAGGACGAACGCUGGCGGCGUGCUUAACACAUGCAAGUCGAACGAGAAUCCACUGAAAGAGUUUUCGGACAAUGGAAGUAGAGGAAAGUGGCGGACGGGUGAGUAACGCGUGAGGAACCUGCCUUGAAGAGGGGGGACAACAGUUGGAAACGACUGCUAAUACCGCAUGACGCAUAGAGGUCGCAUGAUCUUUAUGCCAAGAUUUAUUCGCUUCAAGAAUGGCCUCGCG
rnacentral:rRNA from 1 species